rnacentral:rRNA from 1 species
GAUCUUUAACAACAGAUGUCUCGACUCUCGUAUCGAUAAAGAACAUAGCAAUAUGCAAUACUUGAAGUAAAUUGUAGAAUCUCGUUAAUCAGUUGUUGAUUGAUCUUUUGAUAUGUUAAUUUCAACAACU